UUGGAUCCGCCGUUUUCUAUCAAAUCAGACCCCUAAGGCAUCAAAACUAGAAAUCAGCGAAAUAAUACAUAAAGAUAGACCUAGGAGCUAAGAUCGGCGUCAUUUAUUCAAUGAUGGACCCCUCCCCAUGAUGUCUUCUUCAACGUAAGACCUAAAGCUCUUUCUUAUUUGAAGCAAAAAAAUCAACUUCUUCUUGGCCAUUUGCGAUGGUUUCAGCUGAAGCCUAAACGACGACCCCAUGAACUCUGGUUCUUGAAAAAAAUCCCAGAGCUUUAAGCAUCAGUCUCAUAGACCUAGGGCAUCAGCGGCUUCUUCUUCCUCGACUGAACUCCAUCACCACCGUAAAUGGCCGGAAGCCGGCGACGAAAGUUUGUUUCGUCAAUGGUGUUCGUUUAAAGCUCGUGGAGAGUUCGUUUGAGGUUGUCGACUGAGUUUCAAGUUCGUCGUUCCAUUUAGUGUAACAUUUCUGUUGAGAUCGAGUCCUGCUAUAGCCCGUUCGUAGGUCGCUAGCUCUAUUCGUUGGGUCUGUUCAGUUCCAUUCGAGAUUCCGGCGAAGUUCCGGCGCUGCUAUGUUUUCUUGUUCGAGUCCGUGUCUGAUUGGCCGAGCUUCGAAACAGUAUUGUAAAGGUACAUGACUAAUACUGUCAAUGUAACUUGAAAGUUGAGCAUGAAUACAAAAGAGAAGAGUUGAACAUUGUUUGUUUUUAUACGUAGACUGUAUAUUGCAUAUCAUGUGAUGUAUACUAGUUUACAUUUUUGCUGGGAUACUGGAGUUAGCUCUCAUACAUAGGCAAUGUCAAUUGUAUGGUAACUUGAUAUCCUAUUGUGUGUGUAGGCUGAUAGAUAAAAGGUUUGACAGCAUAGUAGGCUAUAACUCAGAAAUUAGCUAUGUUUGUGAUUAACAUGUCCAUUAAUGCAUGAAAAUUAUCUAUCAUUAGUUAA